GGGGGUAUGGCUCAGUAGUAGAGCACGUGCUCGGUGUGCACAAGGUCCUGGCUUCAACCCCCAGUACGCCCA
rnacentral:tRNA from 1 species